ACACUGUACGCGUCCUUCCGCCCAGCUUCCCUCCUCCCUCGGGUACCCAGGCGGGGUCGCACUCCUCCCGGGCUGAGGACCCACCGGGCCUGCGCCGUGGGAGCAGCGGGCGAGCAGCACUGCGCAGGCGCUAGGCGGCCGCACCCACAGGGCGCGUCUCCAAAAGUUACAGAUGCGCUGGCGGAGCGCUCAGUCGGCGGGGCUGCCCACCGCAGAGAACAGGAAAGAAAACUCCCGAGACGCUCCGUUGGCAUCUCCAGACGUGGCAACGCUGCUUACCUGCUUGAAUACCGCUCCUCUGCCGUCCGCUGAGGGCUGCAGUGAGCAUGGCUUAUCGUUUGGAGCCCUCUGCCAGGAAGUGCCAGUGAUGUGUGGCCCGCGGUGCCUGACCAUCCCGGUCCAGACUGGAUUCUCCAGAGAUGAGCUUUUACCCUCUCCUUAGUGGAUUCUGACUUCCUGUGUCCGACAAGCCUGGGCAUUACUAAAUCUCCUGAUAACCCUAACCGAAAGUUUCCUUGCAGGCCCAGUCCCCACCUGGCUCCUCACCAGCAAGAGCUUACCCAGGCAUUCAGACAUCAUGAUGGAUGAUGAACUCUCAAAAAGGAAAAAGAUGGAAAAUCAUCAAAAUUACCAUAAACUGUGCUCCCAACUAAAUAAGUGUUUCCUUGUAGCAUGUGCAGAGUCAAGGGAAAUUAUAUUCCUACAUUAUUUAAUCUACUAACAACCUAUUUACCUAGUGUCUUAAUCUAGGUUAUUCUUGAAAGCAGGGCCUUCAAAGGUAGACACAUCUAUUUGGGAAUGUGAUCCCAGGGAACAGGAAUGAGACAGGAGUGAACAGGGGAAAAGGGAAAGAAAAUCCAAGCAAAGCAAGGUAGUGUUAUUGAGUGGGCCACUAGUGUUCAUGGCUAGUUAGUGCAGAACCUUCUCAGGAUUCUUAUUAAACUAUGUCUCGAAACUGCCUGCCUGAGGGAUGAAAAGGAGAAGCAUUUAUCUCUCAGUAGCUGAGGGCUACUUCCAUGGGGUGUUAACCCUCCAGGACGAGAGCCUCACUGGUGCCACACCAUCACACAUGCUGCAUCAGGGUAGCUUUGGGAAGGAAGCUAGAUUCUUGAUGCACGCCUGAGGUGAGGCACUGUCAGCACAGAGCUCAGUGAAACCUGCCUAGAGGUGUUCACCAGAGCUGCGGCUAGAACCAGAGGUAGAAGAGAUGGGAGAGAGGGCACCAGAGGCAUCUUCUAAGCCUGGAAAGUGUGCUGUUAGCCUUGUCUAAAUCCAUAUUCUUCCUUCUUUCUAUCAUCAAAAUUUCAUUGUCCAGAACAAAGUUGGCAGAGGGGUUAAGUAGCAAGGUUCAAUGUAUUUCCUAGAAGCUGUACAUUAGUAACAGUUUUAACCUUGAGUGAUGUUUAUAAGAAAUAGAAAGUGACACUAGAACUUGGAAAAUUAAAAAAUGAUUCUACUUGAAACAUUUGACCAUUGGAUAGAGAUACUAGAUUCUUCUAAACUCAUGUAAUCUCAGGAGCAAUCAUGAAUCAUUUGGAGAAAUAAAAUUAACCAUUUCUUGUAUCUCUAUGAACCUAAUAAAUCAGUCAUUAUUUUUUCCAAA